rnacentral:rRNA from 1 species
UGGGGAAUAUUGCACAAUGGGCGCAAGCCUGAUGCAGCCAUGCCGCGUGUGUGAAGAAGGCCUUCGGGUUGUAAAGCACUUUCAGCGAGGAGGAAGGUGGUGAGCUUAAUACGCUCAUCAAUUGACGUUACUCGCAGAAGAAGCACCGGCUAACUCCGUGCCAGCAGCCGCGGUAAUACGGAGGGUGCAAGCGUUAAUCGGAAUUACUGGGCGUAAAGCGCACGCAGGCGGUUUGUUAAGUCAGAUGUGAAAUCCCCGGGCUCAACCUGGGAACUGCAUUUGAAACUGGCAAGCUAGAGUCUCGUAGAGGGGGGUAGAAUUCCAGGUGUAGCGGUGAAAUGCGUAGAGAUCUGGAGGAAUACCGGUGGCGAAGGCGGCCCCCCUGGACGAAGACUGACGCUCAGGUGCGAAAGCGUGGGGCAGCAAACAGGAUUAGAUACCCUGGUAGUCCACGCUGUAAACGAUGUCGAUUUGGAGGUUGUGCCCUUGAGGCGUGGCUUCCGGAGCUAACGCGUUAAA